rnacentral:rRNA from 1 species
AUUGAACGCUGGCGGCAGGCCUAACACAUGCAAGUCGAACGGUAACAGGAAGAAUCUUGCUUCUUUGCUGUCGCGUGUCGGACGGGUGCGUAAUGUCUGGGAAACUUCCUGAUGGAGGGGGAUACCUCCUGGAAACGGUAGCUACUACCGCAUACUGUCGCAAGACCAUAGAGGGGGACCUUCUGGCCUCUUGCCAUCGGAUUUGCCCCGCUGGCAUUAGCUAGUAGGUGGGGUAACGGCUCACCUAGUCGACGAUCCGUAGCUGGACUGAGAGGAUGACAAGCAACACUGGAACUGAGACACGGACAAGGCACCUACGGGAGGCAGCAGUGGGGAAUAUUGCACAAUGGGCGCAAGCCUGAUACAGCUAGGACGCGUGUAUGAAGAAGGCGUUCGGGGUGUAAAGAACGUUCAGGGGGGAGGAAGGGAGUAAAGCUAAUACCUGGGAUGAGUGACGGUACCCGAAGAAGAAGCACCGGCUAACUACGUG